rnacentral:rRNA from 1 species
CCUACGGGCGGCAGCAGUGGGGAAUAUUGCACAAUGGGGGAAACCCUGAUGCAGCGACGCCGCGUGAGUGAAGAAGUAUUUCGGUAUGUAAAGCUCUAUCAGCAGGGAAGAAAAUGACGGUACCUGACUAAGAAGCCCCGGCUAACUACGUGCCAGCAGCCGCGGUAAUACGUAGGGGGCAAGCGUUAUCCGGAUUUACUGGGUGUAAAGGGAGCGUAGGUGGCAUGGUAAGCCAGAAGUGAAAACCCGGGGCUCAACCCCGCGGAUUGCUUUUGGAACUAUCAGGCUAGAGUGCUGGAGGGGUAAGCGGAAUUCCUAGUGUAGCGGUGAAAUGCGUAGAUAUUAGGAGGAACACCGGUGGCGAAGGCGGCUUACUGGACAGAAACUGACACUGAGGCUCGAAAGCGUGGGUAUCGAACAGGAUUAGAUACCCCAGUAGUC